rnacentral:tRNA from 1 species
CGUAGGGUAUUGCAGUGGUAGCAAGCGAGGGUCAUAUCCUCGAAGUCGCAGGUUCGAGUCCUGCCCCUACAACCA